CACGAAGUUAGCCGGGGCUUCUUCUCCGGUUACCGUCAUUAUCUUCACCGGCGAAAGAGCUUUACAACCCUAAGGCCUUCAUCACUCACGCGGCAUGGCUGGAUCAGGCUUGCGCCCAUUGUCCAAUAUUCCCCACUGCUGCCUCCCGUAGGAGUCUGGGCCGUGUCUCAGUCCCAGUGUGGCUGGUCAUCCUCUCAGACCAGCUACGGAUCGUCGCCUUGGUGAGCCGUUACCUCACCAACUAGCUAAUCCGACGCGGGCCCAUCCAUCUCCGAUAAAUCUUUCCCCAAAAGGGCGUAUACGGUAUUAGCUCCAGUUUCCCGGAGUUGUUCCGUAGAGAUGGGUAGGUUCCCACGCGUUACUCACCCGUCUGCCGCUCCCCCGAAAGGGCGCUCGACUUGCAUGUGUUAAGCCUGCCGCCAGCGUUCGUUCUGAGCCAGGAUCAAACUCU
rnacentral:rRNA from 1 species